rnacentral:rRNA from 1 species
UACGAAGGGUGCAAGCGUUACUCGGAAUUACUGGGCGUAAAGCGUGCGUAGGUGGUUUGUUAAGUCUGCUGUGAAAGCCCCGGGCUCAACCUGGGAAUGGCAGUGGAUACUGGCAAGCUAGAGUGCGGUAGAGGGUAGUGGAAUUCCCGGUGUAGCGGUGAAAUGCGUAGAGAUCGGGAGGAACACCAGUGGCGAAGGCGGCUACCUGGACCAGCACUGACACUCAGGCACGAAAGCGUGGGGAGCAAAAGGG